rnacentral:rRNA from 1 species
GAUGAACGCUGGCGGCGUGCUUAACACAUGCAAGUCGAACGGAAAGGCCCAAGCUUGCUUGGGUACUCGAGUGGCGAACGGGUGAGUAACACGUGGGUGAUCUGCCCUGCACUUCGGGAUAAGCCUGGGAAACUGGGUCCAAUACCGGAUAGGACCACAUUUUGGAUGGUGUGGUGGAAAGUUUUUCGGUGUGGGAUGAGCUCGCGGCCUAUCAGCUUGUUGGUGGGGUAAUGGCCUACCAAGGCGUCGACGGGUAGCCGGCCUGAGAGGGUGUACGGCCACAUUGGGACUGAGAUACGGCCCAGACUCCUACGGGAGGCAGCAGUGGGGAAUAUUGCACAAGGGGCGCAAGCCUGAUGCAGCGACGCCGCGUGGGGGAUGACGGCCUUCGGGUUGUAAACUCCUUUCGCUAGGGACGAAGCGUUAUGUGACGGUACCUGGAGAAGAAGCACCGGCUAACUACGUG